rnacentral:lncRNA from 1 species
AGCCUAUCGACUGUCCAAUCAGAUAUAACUGUUACUCGUGAGGAGAGAAAGAACCUAGCUGCUAAGUUGAGCAAUUUUAAGCGAACCCCUCGUUUAACUGACACUAAUUCUGAAGCGUCUCAUAAUAGACAAUAUCAUCGUGGACAAAGUGAUCAAAAAUAUUUUCGACGCGAUCGUAGGAAUAGGGAUCAGAUUCGUAAGCGAGAACGAGAUAAUUUUGAAAUUCUUACUCAAUGGAAUGCCC